rnacentral:rRNA from 1 species
CGGGGGGGCAAGCGUUGUUCGGAAUUACUGGGCGUAAAGGGCUCGUAGGCGGCCAACUAAGUCGGAUGUGAAAUCCCCAGGCUCAACUUGGGAACUGCAUCCGAUACUGGAUGGCUUGAAUUCGGGAGAGGGAUGCAGAAUUCCAGGUGUAGCGGUGAAAUGCGUAGAUAUCUGGAGGAAUACCGGUGGCGAAGGCGGCAUCCUGGACCGACAUUGACGCUGAGGAGCGAAAGCCAGGGGAGCAAACGGGAUUAGAUACCCCGGUAGUCCUGGCCCUAAACGAUGAAUGCUUGGUGUGACGGGUAUCGAUCCCUGUCGUGCCGAAGCUAACGCAUUAAGCAUUCCGCCUGGGGAGUACGGUCGCAAGGCUG